AAAAGAUCAGAUACGUGUGGAGCACCUUCCAGAUCACUCUGUGCUCUGACGAGGCCUGAUAACAGCGUUCAGAAGUCUUCUUAAGAAAACAGAAAAUGAAGUGCUUUGUUUUGUUGCUGAUUACUCUGGCAGUGGCAAAUUUAUUUCCCUUGGAAAAUAGAGAAAACACCGCCCAAGAGACGGAGAUCUUGGGGGCCCAUGCACAAGAUACUGGUGAUCUUAGGAUGCAACCCAAGAUACCCAUGAUUGGAACACCGCUGAACAAUCCCGCUCAACAAAGUGGUUGGGAUGGCAACGAUGAUUGGUCGCCUAGGGGUGUCAAUAUCAGUGAAAGAAACGAAAAUGAUAAAAGGUCUUGGUUUACCACCGCGGUGUUGGAAACCGCGGUGGUAAACCGAGUUUGAACCUUGACAUCGAUCAUCAAUUCGGUAAACGGGGUUGGGCCAACAACGCCGAUGGUGAUGACCUCAACGCGCACCCACCUUAUCCAUAUUAUUACAAAAAUUGAAGAAGUGAAGGUCGAGACUGGAACGACAUGGCGAGAUAUCGAUAAAACUUUGCUCAACUUAAUUGCUGGGCCCUUGCACGGAACACAACAUUUCAGACUAGACUUUAGAACCGUAGUUAAGAACUGUAACGUUUAAGCAAUAGUAAGGCAAACAAAUAAAGGAUUGAAGUGGAGCGGA